rnacentral:rRNA from 1 species
AUGAAUGCUAGCGGCGUGGAUAAGGCAUGCAAGUCGAGUGCAUUUAGUUGCACGGCAAACGAGGUAGUAAUACACAGGUACGCACCGAAGAGUCGGGCAUAUACCGCCGAAAGGCGGAGCAAUUCCCGAUGGUCCCCUAAGUAUUUAUAUUUGGGGGUAAAGAUUUAUCGCUCUUUGAGCGGCCUGUGCCGCAUCAGCUAGUUGGUAGGGUAACGGCCUACCAAGGCUACGACGCGUAGGGGAGCUGAGAGGCUGACCCCCACCGAUGGAACCGAGACACGGUCCAUACACCUACGGGUGGCUGCAGUCGAGAAUAUUUGGCAAUGGGCGCAAGCCUGACCAUGCGACGCCGCGUGGUUGAUGAAGUCCUUCGGGACGUAAGAACCUUUUAUGAGGGAGGAAGUCAUUGACGGUACCUCAUGAAUAAGGGGCUCCUAACUCUGUGCCAGCAGGAGCGGUAAUACAGAGGCCCCAAGCAUUAUCCGGAAUCACUGGGCGUAAAGGGUGUGCAGGCGGCAUGACUAGUCCUUCGUGAAAGCUUUCGGGCUCAACCCGGAAAACGCGGGGGAAACGGUCAAGCUUUGAGGACGCGAGAGGUAGAGGGAACUCAUGGUGUAGGGGUGAAAUCCGUUGAUAUCAUGGGGAACACCAAAUGCGAAGGCACUCUACUGGCGCGCUCCUGACGCUCAUACACGAAAGCGUGGGAAUCGAACGGGAUUAGAUACCCCGGUAGUCCACGCCCUAAACGAUCACAACUGGCUUUAAGGAGUAUCGACCCUCUUUGAGGCGAAGCUAACGCGUUAAGUUGUGCGCCUGGGUAGUACGAUCGCAAGAUUAAAACUCAAAGGAAUAGACGGGGACUUGCACAAGCGGUGGAUCAUGCGGCUCAAUUCGAUGAUAAACGAAGAACCUCACCAGGGUUUGAAACCCAGACGAUCGCUUAUGGAAACAUAAGCUUCCGCAAGGCGGCUGGGCAGGUGAUGCAUGGUCGUCGUCAGUUCGUGGCUUGAGUUGUUCCCUUCAGUGGGGUAACGAACGCAACCCGCGUUGCCUGUUUUAUUAGUCAGGCGAGACUGCCCCCUCACGGGGGAGGAAGGUGCGGAUGACGCCAGAUCAGCAUGUCCCUCUGAUAUCCUGGGCUGCACGCAUGAUACAAUGGCCAUAACAACGGGUCGCGACGGGGUAACCCUGAGCUAAUCCUUAUAAAUAUGGCCCCAGUUCGGAUUGAGGUCUGCAACUCGACCUCAUGAAGCCGGAAUCGCUAGUAAUCACGGGUCAGCUAUACCGCGGUGAAUACGUUCUCAAGUCUUGUACUCACCGCCCGUCAACUCAAGGGAGCCGGGAGUACCUGAAGCAUCGCGCAAGCGGUGUCACGGUAAAUUCGGUGACAGGGAGU